rnacentral:rRNA from 1 species
GAUCCUGCCAGUAGUCAUAUGCUUGUCUCAAAGAUUAAGCCAUGCAUGUCUAAGUAUAAGCAAUUAUACAGCGAAACUGCGAAUGGCUCAUUAUAUAAGUUAUCGUUUAUUUGAUAGUACCUUACUACUUGGAUAACCGUGGUAAUUCUAGAGCUAAUACAUGCUAAAAAUCCCGACUUACGAAGGGAUGUAUUUAUUAGAUUAAAAACCAAUGCCCUUCGGGGCUCACUGGUGAUUCAUAAUAACUUCUCGAAUCGCAUGGCCUUGCGCCGGCGAUGGUUCAUUCAAAUUUCUUCCCUAUCAACUUUCGAUGCUAGAGUAGUGUUCUAGCAUGGUUACAACGGGUAACGGAGGGUUAGGGCUCGACCCCGGAGAAGGAGCCUGAGAAACGGCUACUACAUCCAAGGAAGGCAGCAGGCGCGCAAAUUACCCAAUCCCGACACGGGGAGGUAGUGACGAUAAAUACUGAUACAGGGCUCUUUUGGGUCUUGUAAUUGGAAUGAGUACAAUUUAAAUCCCUUAACGAGGAACAAUUGGAGGGCAAGUCUGGUGCCAGCAGCCGCGGUAAUUCCAGCUCCAAUAGCGUAUAUUAAAGUUGUUGUGGUUAAAAAGCUCGUAGUAGAACCUUGGGCCUGGCUGGCCGGUCCGCCUCACCGCGUGCACUGGUCCGGCCGGGCCUUUCCCCCUGUGGAACCUCAUGCCCUUCACUGGGUGUGUGGGAAAACAGGACUUUUACUUUGAAAAAAUUAGAGUGCUCCAGGCAGGCCUAUGCUCGAAUACAUUAGCAUGGAAUAAUAGAAUAGGACGUGUGGUUCUAUUUUGUUGGUUUCUAGGACCGCCGUAAUGAUUAAUAGGGACAGUCGGGGGCAUCAGUAUUCAAUUGUCAGAGGUGAAAUUCUUGGAUUUAUUGAAGACUAACUACUGCGAAAGCAUUUGCCAAGGAUGUUUUCAUUUAUCAGGAACGAAAGUUAGGGGAUCGAAGACGAUCAGAUACCGUCGUAGUCUUAACCAUAAACUAUGCCGACUAGGGAUCGGACGAUGUUAUUUUUUGACUCGUUCGGCACCUUACGAGAAAUCAAAGUGCUUGGGCUCCAGGGGGAGUAUGGUCGCAAGGCUGAAACUUAAAGAAAUUGACGGAAGGGCACCACCAGGGGUAAACAGAAGCCGUUUCGCUCUGCCCUACACAGCGAGCCCGUCAAGGGUUUGGUGGUGCUGCACACAAUCGCUAGUCACCUCUCCGGUGGCGACAUCCUCAAAUUGCGGGAAACCCUCCAAGGGCGACACUACCAAGCAGGGCUCGAGAGAGCUACCCUGUGGCGGCGGAGUAACUACCGUCGGUAUGGUAAGAACGUGUCCGCCUAAGAGGCCACUCGCAGCCAAGCUCCCCCUAACCCGGGGAGAAGGUCCAGAGACUCGACGGGGAUGGGUCGGGCUACCGCAGCCCCGCCUAAGAUAGAGUCCGUACCCGCUAGAGAUAGCCGGGAAUCGAAAACUUACGCCGGCCCCCCAGCCGGCGGCAAGCUACCCUGAAAGGGAGCCUGCGGCUUAAUUUGACUCAACACGGGGAAACUCACCAGGUCCAGACACAAUGAGGAUUGACAGAUUGAGAGCUCUUUCUUGAUUUUGUGGGUGGUGGUGCAUGGCCGUUCUUAGUUGGUGGAGUGAUUUGUCUGCUUAAUUGCGAUAACGAACGAGACCUUAACCUGCUAACUAGCCCGUAUUGCUUUGGCAGUACGCUGGCUUCUUAGAGGGACUAUCGGCUCAAGCCGAUGGAAGUUUGAGGCAAUAACAGGUCUGUGAUGCCCUUAGAUGUUCUGGGCCGCACGCGCGUUACACUGACAGAGCCAGCGAGUACUUCCUUGACUUAAAAGUCCGGGUAAUCUUGUUAAACUCUGUCGUGCUGGGGAUAGAGCAUUGCAAUUAUUGCUCUUCAACGAGGAAUCCCUAGUAAGCGCAAGUCAUCAGCUUGCGUUGAUUACGUCCCUGCCCUUUGUACACACCGCCCGUCGCUACUACCGAUUGAAUGGCUCAGUGAGGCUUUCGGACUGAUCUAAGGGAGGAGGCAACUCUUCCCCCUGGUCGGAAAGUUAUCCAAACUCGGUCAUUUAGAGGAAGUAAAAGUCGUAACAAGGUCUCCGUUGGUGAACCAGCGGAGGGAUCAUUACUGAGUUUACGCUCUACAACCCUUUGUGAACAUACCUACAACUGUUGCUUCGGCGGGUAGGGUCUCCGCGACCCUCCCGGCCUCCCGCCUCCGGGCGGGUCGGCGCCCGCCGGAGGAUAACCAAACUCUGAUUUAACGACGUUUCUUCUGAGUGGUACAAGCAAAUAAUCAAAACUUUUAACAACGGAUCUCUUGGUUCUGGCAUCGAUGAAGAACGC